rnacentral:rRNA from 1 species
CCUACGGGUGGCUGCAGUGAGGAAUAUUGGUCAAUGGGCGGAAGCCUGAACCAGCCAAGUAGCGUGCAGGAUGACGGCCCUACGGGUUGUAAACUGCUUUUAUACGGGAAUAACGCGCCUCACGUGUACGUCUUUGCAUGUACUGUAUGAAUAAGGACCGGCUAACUCCGUGCCAGCAGCCGCGGUAAUACGGAGGGUCCGUGCGUUAUCCGGAUUUAUUGGGUUUAAAGGGAGCGUAGGCGGGUUGUCAAGUCUGUUGUGAAAGGUUCGGGCUCAACCCGAGACUUGCAGUUGAUACUGGCAGGCUUGAGUCCAGUUGAGGCAGGCGGAAUUCGUGGUGUAGCGGUGAAAUGCUUAGAUAUGACGAAGAACCCCGAUUGCGAAGGCAGCUUGCUACAGUGUAACUGACACUGAUGCUCGAAAGUGCGGGUAUCGAACAGGAUUAGAUACCCGAGUAGUC